AAUAGAUACCCCGGUAGUCCACGCCGUAAACGAUGUCGACUUGGAGGUUGUGCCCUUGAGGCGUGGCUUCCGGAGCUAACGCGUUAAGUCGACCGCCUGGAGAGUACGGCCGCAAGGUUAAAACUCAAAUGAAUUGACGGGGGGCCCGCACAAGCGGUGGAGCAUGUGGUUUAAUUCGAUGCAACGCGAAGAACCUUACCUACUCUUGACAUCCAGAGAACUUAGCAGAGAUGCUUUGGUGCCUUCGGGAACUCUGAGACAGGUGCUGCAUGGCUGUCGUCAGCUCGUGUUGUGAAUGUUGGGUUAAGUCCCGCAACGAGCGCAACCCUUAUCCUUUGUUGCCAGCGGUUAGGCCGGGAACUCAAAGGAGACUGCCAGUGAUAAACUGGAGGAAGGUGGGGAUGACGUCAAGUCAUCAUGGCCCUUACGAGUAGGGCUACACACGUGCUACAAUGGCGCAUACAAAGAGAAGCGACCUCGCGAGAGCAAGCGGACCUCAUAAAGUGCGUCGUAGUCCGGAUUGGAGU
rnacentral:rRNA from 1 species